UACGGAGGGUGCAAGCGUUAAUCGGAAUUACUGGGCGUAAAGCGCGCGUAGGCGGUUAAACAAGUCAGAUGUGAAAGCCCCGGGCUCAACCUGGGAACUGCAUUUGAAACUGUUUAGCUAGAGUGUGGUAGAGGAGAGUGGAAUUUCAGGUGUAGCGGUGAAAUGCGUAGAUAUCUGAAGGAACACCAGUGGCGAAGGCGGCUCUCUGGACCAAUACUGACGCUGAGGUGCGAAAGCGUGGGUAGCAAACGGG
rnacentral:rRNA from 1 species